rnacentral:rRNA from 1 species
AACGUAGGUGGCAAGCGUUAUCCGGAUUCACUGGGCGUAAAGGGCACGCAGGCGGCUCGGCAGGUAGGGCAUGAAAUCUCCCGGCUUAACUGGGAGAGGCUGUCCUAAACCGCUGGGCUUGAGGGCGGGAGAGGGAAGUGGAAUUGCCGGUGUAGUGGUGAAAUGCGUAGAGAUCGGCAGGAACACCAGUGGCGAAGGCGACUUCCUGGUCCGCCCCUGACGCUCAUGUGCGAAAGCUAGGGUAGCGAACGGG